AAUAAACGAAGAAGAAGGAAGUCACCUGACACAAGCAAGUCAAUCACACACAAACGCGAGAGCCGCAUGCUAUCAUUUGAAAUGACAUAAGAAUAUAAUUAGGGAGCUUAAUCGAACCCAAAUUUGAGGCGAAACAACAUGAAAGGUUUAUUUUGCCGAAUUAACGGCAGCGAGCUCAAAUUCGUCACGCAGGAAACGACUCUUCCUGAGGUCUUGGGUAGCCAUGACGUCAGAAUCCACGUGAAGGCGUGUGGCCUGAGCCCGGUGGACCUCAAGUUUCUGGAAGACAUGGGACUGCAGAGAGAUGCAAUUCCCCUCGGCAGGGAGGUGACCGGCAUCGUACAACGAGUCGGUCCGAAGGUCACCUUCUUCCAACCCGAUGACGAGGUUGUAGGCAUUCUUCCGCUGGACUCGGUCUGCUCGGGACUCAGUGAUGUCAUCGACAUUAAUGAACAGUAUCUAGUUGAGAAGCCGGCGAAGUUGAGCUGCACGAGCGUGGCCGCGGCGCUGGAGGACGGCCUCCGCGCGUACAGCGCCCUCCACGCUCACGCUCGCAUGGCGGCCGGGCAGACGCUCCUGGUGGUGGACGGCGCCAGUUCUUUUGGCCUGAUGUGCAUCCAGCUGGCGUCUUACCACGGCGUGAAGGUUCUGACCACGUCGCACUCGCAGGAGCAGCACACCUUCUUGGAGCAGCUACGGCCCAGCGUCGGUGUUCAGGAACCUCUUGUGGUGAGGGUGAUUCCCGUCCACAAAAACCCGUCGGAGCUUAUUCCGGCGGUUCUGGAGGAGACGGGGGGUCUGGGAGUGGACAUAGUUGUGGACCAAGGAGUUAGUCUGCAAGAAAAAGGGGAACCAGAAGAGGAGGAGGAAGAGGAGGCGGCGUUCCUCCCGCACAAGCACGACAUCAUCAGUGCGUUGGCAGUGGGCGGCCACUGGGUGACGUCCCAGAAGGACCUGCAACUGGAUCCUCCUGACAGCAGGUUAAUGUUCUUGAAGUCAGCCUCCGUAUCGUUCCUCAACGCUCAAGUGUGGUUGGCUUCGUCUUCCCAGCAGGGACGAUACCUCCAUAUUCUCAGGGACAUUGUGGAGAAGAUGUCGUCUGGAGUACUCAGGUACACGAACCAGACGAGUUCCUAUCAGACCUCAGCCUGAGGAGGCGGUUCCUCUCCAGGACGCGGCCGCCGCCAUGGAGAACGUGCAGCUCCGGCACAAGAAAAGGGCCGUCGUCCAAAUGUGAUAACGCUCUUUAAUUGGACCGCUUCGUUAAGUAUAAGUGUGAGUACUUCUGGCACCUGUGCAAAUGCCAAACGUGGUCAUUAACCUUCUCGAGAGCCGUGAGCGUGUCUCGCAGGAGUCGUCGGCACAACGCCGCCGCCGUCCGGACGCUCCGGCGCUCGGCCACCUCGCCCACCGCCUGGCCGCGCAACACCGCCUUCCACCGGGGACUGUCGCGACAACACGGAUUCAGGUUUGGUUGGAAGCUCCGUGUUUAAGAUGGCGGAUGAGGGUCUUCCUUACAAGAGAGUUUGAGGCAGUGACAUCAGUCUGAGGACGGUCAUCAGCCUCCAGCUGGGACCUUCAUCGCACACGCUCAGGUUGCUGAGGGACGACGAGGACAACAAAAUAACUGCACGGCCUCAUUCAUAAUUAUUAUUACGAGGAAGGGAUUUGCGUGAGAAGAAUGCAAAGGGUCAAAUGUCUGACUUGAGAAAGUUGUUGUCUGCGAGGAACUUCAUCUUCUGCUCCAGACUUGUUGUGUCUCCCUUCACAACCUCGCGCAGCAUUUCUUCACAAUCACAAUUGCACAUCAUUAACACUUCUUAAACUGCUGCUAUUACUAAUACUUUGCUGCUACUAGUAUUACUAUUGCUACUACUAUAUCACUACUAGUACCAAUGCUGUUACUUGUUCUACAACUACAGUGCUGCUACCACUAUACUAGUAGUACUUCCAAAGUGAUUACUGCUAUUACUAAAGUUCUACUACCACUA